ACGGCGAAUGCCGAGAAGGACUACAUUGGUAAUGUGGUUGUCGCGGGUUCAAGUCCCGCCUGUAUCGGCAACGAUACAGUAGCUCAGCUGGAUAGAGCGCCAGUCCCUCGGGACGGUCUUUCUCACUUCUCGUCGCCGUGAC
rnacentral:Y_RNA from 1 species